rnacentral:lncRNA from 1 species
CUUAAAUGACCACAAGACUCAUUUUGAUCUAUUCAUGACAAGAGCAUACAUACCUUCCUACAAAGACUCGGACGAACAAGUUAGUUAUCACUUUAAAAUAAUUUUGAAAAAUAAAAAGAGUAACAUUUUAGAGUAAACAAAAAGACGGAAUUAUAAAAACGCAUGAUGUUAUAAGCAUAAAAGAGUGACAUUGACCUUUAUGGGAAGUCUUUUGAAAGAGGAAAAAGAACAAGAUACAAUUAGAAAGUCCUACUAAACCAAACAUCCUAUUUCUAGAUACCAACAAGUUAAAGUAACUUUUCUAUAUUGUGAGAACCAAAUCAAAAACGGAAAUCACGAUUUCAAACAAAAUUCAAAGUUUCCACUUUACUUGUACAAAUUACAAAAGGGCAAUAAUUGUCUUAUAUAUUACUGUCAAAUAAACUUGUUUGAAUAAUAUGUUGGGUCCAUAUAUAUACAUGAAAUUCUGGUUUUCAAAAACUGAGUUUGUUUUUCUACAUGCAACCUCAAGAGCCAAUACCAAACCAAAGCUAAGUUGAAAGCUCUCAAAUUUUAUACACCCAGUCCCCUCCCCGCCUUUUAUUUUCUCUACACACCUUCUCCCAUUUCUUUCGCAAGAUCUCGUGAGCUUAAUAGGCAUUAUGAAGAACAACUCAAAUUUCCAAUGUUUUGCUUUAACUUUCACUAGGGACACCAGAAUUUAUAUUUGAGGCAUGACUCCCCACUUCAAACACAGCCUGACACCCAAAGUUUUCAGCCUCUGCCCAUUUCCAAUGUUUCAGAAGGCCCCCCAUGUCAAUGAAUCUCAUUCACUCAGCUCG